AUUUGACUUCAGAUAAAUUUGAUGAAAAUAUGUUUAAAAAAUUGUGAAACUUGUUCGAUACAUUGCCACAACACAAGAUUAAGGUGUAAGCGGAUGGAAAAAUCUGAUUAAAGUAACAAUGCAAACUAAACUAAAUCGGAUAAAAACUCUAGCAAUCUUUUCUAAUUUAAAAUAGAAUAAAAAUAAGGAAUAUCGGGCUGAUUUAAAACUUUAAAAUUGAUUAAAAACUAUUUUUGAUAAAAUUUAAACAAAAUCCAUUAUUAUUUUAUACAAAAAAUUGUUUUAAUUUUUUAUUUUUUAUUUUGUAUAAUUAAAAAAUCUAUACGAAUAUUUCCAGCUAAAUUCGCAUGUAAGUUUCUUACGAAUUUCUCUAGGAUGCAGAAAUGCAGGUUAUAUUUUGUUGAAAAUGUAAUUUCUCAUGAAUGGAGGGUUGAGAUUGACUUGAAGAAGUUUUGUGAAAUUUCUUUGCCAUGAUAAAAAACGUGAAUUUUAAGAUAAGAUAAGAAGGCUACCUGAUCAGCCAAAAGUGAAUUUUAAUCCUUAUUCUGGAGACCGAGAAUCAAACCGCUUCAAAACCAGUCAUGUUGUGGCUCCACGGAGGUACAUCAUGGUUGUCAAGAUCUCGAUCUAGAUCUUAAAAUCUUAAGAUUUUACGAUCUCACUCACCCCUAACGAUCCCGAUAUUAAGUAGAAUCGCGUGUUGUAGUUAAAUUGUAAAAAGUGUCCCUAAUGUCUAGUAAUUGGCCAAAUAUGUCCCUAAAGUCUAACAAAUUGUUUAUGUGAUAGUAAUAACGUACAAAAACCUAGUCAUACAUGUCUAGAGAAUAGGAAAAAGAGUCAUUUUCUCACUAAUACACUUGUCUACUAUAAUAUAAUAUGUAAAAAUACUUCAAAUAUAGUAGGAUCUUACGAUUUUGCCUGCGAUCUUAUGUUUUAUGAUCUUGUUACCUGCUCUCGACCUUACAAAAAUAAUUGGGUAGGAUCUUCCGAUCUUAGCUACGAUUUUAUAUUUUACGAUCUUGUUAUUUUCUCCCGAUUUUAUGUAAGAUCUCGAUCUUGACAACAUUGGGUACAUGGAAUACCAACGAGAAGGAUAUAACACUUGCCCAGCAGCACCAGAAAACGAAGAAUACCUACAGGUGGCGGGUUGGACUCAAGUAUACAGGGAUAUCCUAUCGUUUGCUACAAUAAAGGGUAGAGGUCACUCAACUGCAUUUUCUCAGCCAGAGAGAUCGCUCGUGAUGAUUAAGACUUUUUUGGAAGGAAAACCCCUUCCAAAACGCACCUUUUUUCUUCUAAAAAUUGGCAUUGAAUGUACUCAUUAUUUUUUAUUUGAUUAUAGUGUA